GGGUAUUAGGACUUCUUAUGUUCUGCACGAAAAACAGCAACGCCCGGGCAGGACGACCGGGCGAGAAGUACCCGCGGCACGGAUGCCGCGUGUACUCCGGUUGCGUCAGUUAAGAAAACUGUCCGCAGAACAUUAGAAGUCCUUAUGCCCGAAG
rnacentral:ncRNA from 1 species